GCCAGUGUGGUGUAGUGAUUUGAAUGUUAGAUUAGGACUCUGGAAACCAGGGUUUGAAUCCUUGCUCAGCCA